CACCGUUCACUCCGGAACAGAGACUGAGAUGCAGCUGCCUAAGAAACGCUCUGGGCUGGAAUACUUCAUCUGGACAACAGAUGCAUCAGCUACACUAAGGCCCGAUCCGAGACUUCUGAUGCAUAAAGCAUGCAACUUCGCGCACGGAUGUACUUUCCAUUUGAAGUACUGCUAGAGAUUUGUGCCCUCAAACACGGGAAUUUUGGUAAGUUCUAUUUCACACCAUUUCCAUAAAAAAGAAAUAUGUUCCAUUUACUAUGAUGUACUAUGCAUUCUGAAGGAUAUAUGAAACGGGCGAGACCUUCCAUCUCGACGAGGUGUUAAUGAGAACAGAAUCUACUGCUUACAGUUUUAUGUAUCUGAGGUUGGAAGAUUUUCCACAGGCCAGCAUCUGGUUCUGCACACUUCAAACCUUGUGUCUGUCACUCUGUAACCAGAAAGGGGUCCCGAUCCAGACCCCAAGAGAAGGUUCUUGCACUUCGCACAAGAAAGAAUUCUGGGUGCAUCCACAGAGUAAAGUGAAAGCAAGUUUAUUAAGAAAGUAAAGGAAUAAGAAUGGCUACUCCACGGACAGGGCAGCGGCUUGGCUGCCCACUGAUUACACUUAUAGUUAUUUCUUGAUUAUAUGCCAGAUAAGGGGUUGAUUAUUCAUGAAUUUUCUGGGAAAAGGAUGGGCUAUUCCCGGAAUUGAGGGUCCCUCCCCCUUAGACCAUAUAGGGCAACUUCCUCACGUUGCCACGGCAUCUCUAAAC
rnacentral:lncRNA from 10 species